UACAGAGGUCUCAAGCGUUGUUCGGAUUCAUUGGGCGUAAAGGGUGCGUAGGCGGCGCGGUAAGUCGGGUGUGAAAUCUCGAAGCUUAACUCCGAAACUGCAUUCGAUACUGCCGUGCUUGAGGACUGGAGAGGAGACUGGAAUUUACGGUGUAGCGGUGAAAUGCGUAGAUAUUGUAAGGAAGACCAGUGGCGAAGGCGGGUCUCUGGACAGUUCCUGACGCUGAGGCACGAAGGCCAGGGGAGCAAACGGG
rnacentral:rRNA from 1 species